CAACUAUUACCCCUUUCUAUCAGAUACAUACAAAUUUGAAAAAUUUCCAUAAUUAUCUUUUAUUUUUCAUAUUUUUCAGAAACCUGGCUCCCAUUGAGAUUCCAGAAUCUACAUUCUUGUUUUUCUCUUUCAUGCUAGAAGAUUUCUACACGUUUGGUGACCCUUGGCUAUCUUUCUACAUUUAAGAGUGCAGCUGCCCACAAAGCUGCCAGCCAUGAAUGCCACAGAAACAGAGUGGAGGGAAAUACCAGAGAGAAAGGCUUUUUCCCAACUCAGAAUUUCACUUGUGCCAAGAAUUACGCAGACUCUUAUGAAGACAUUCCAGCAGUUUCUGUCUUGUAAAAGGGACUGAAGAUCUUUCUGCCAUGACAUUUCUCAAAAUAUGCUGCAUAGAUUACCAACUACUUCAUCCAUGUGUUAGAUAAUGCUAUUCAGAUAAUUUGGGCAUAUUACUGUAAAAAAGAGGACCUGCAAGAGGUAAAUUUAUAAGAGAUAAAAUUAUUUUUAGGUAUAUUUUUAUAUUGGGAAAAUGUUUUAAUUUCAGUAGUACCAGUGUCACAGCUGAAUAGCUAUUAGAAAAACGCAUUAAUUAAAAACCUAUUUGUGGAUUAAUUAUGGAUGAGAACUUCUUUAUUAGUUUACAUAUGGCCUUGUGUCUUUUGAAAAACUGUAAUUUUAUACAAAUUUUAAUUGAAGAUGUAUCUCUGCUGAGGAGUACAUACUUAUGAAAUACAAUAUUUUCUUUCUUGGAGACAGCACCAAUGACUAUAUUAAUAUAGAAAGAAUCAAGUUUAAGUGUCAAAAACAAGUUACGCCAUUGAUUUUGUUAAACAAUACGAGAUUCAGAUUCAACUAAUAUUUAUGGAGUCCCUAAUUUGGUCAGAUAUUGUGCUAUUAUAGGUAUCUAUUAUUUAACCUCUAAUUCUUCAGAGUUAGAAAUGAACUUGGUGUUCUUAUUCACAUUUUACAGAUAAG
rnacentral:lncRNA from 1 species